AGGGUUUUUUUGGUAAAGGGUUUGUUUCUCCUUUAACAUUUCGCAACAAAAACAGGAGCUAGGUCUUACAUCUUCUACCAAUAUAAGUGCUGCUGCUUAGUUUCUGAAUAUCAAUGCAUAAAGACGAUCACCGUAUUGCUAACAUUUUCUCAGGCAUCCUUUUGAGAGCAAUAUGAUUCCAUUUAGCUGUGUUAUUAAUUGGCCCUUACAAAAGAAAAAAAAAUCAGAAAACAAAUCACAUUGUUCUGUUUUAUUCAUUGUGACAGAACGGCACAGAUGUGUCUGCUUUAAUGUAUAAGUAGAUCGACACUCACUAAGCAAUUUGUUUCAAGCUGCUUGUACACAUUGCAAGGUUGCAGCAAAACUGCAAUAUUUUUCCAUCUAUGAUAGUGCCAAGCAGCAUGAACAAAAUUCUGAAUGUCAUUCGAUUCUGUUGUGUGUAACAGGUUUACAUGCCAGAAGAUUAAACUGCUGGACUUGCUUUUCAUCUGAAGUUACUCAUUCUGACCUUAGUGAUGCAGUUUCCAUAGCAACAUCGGUUUCCUGGGAAACCAAAUUCGUUGUCAUGGUAUCCCUUUUAGUUCCCAUAGCAACCACCCAGAUGGCUCCAAUUUACAGAUAUGCUGCUGCUGUUGGGAAAAUGCUCAGAGAAAGUUAAUCCCAGAGAGCUUUGCAAAAUAGGUAUGGAAAUAAGGAUGCCACCUGUGAUGAAAGGAAUGAAGAAUCGCCUCUUGUUAACAAGUACAAAGUAAUCUUCCAAAGAAAUAACCGUGAGACAAAAUAAACAUAACUGUAUUAAAUCUAUAAGGAGGGGUCUGCUGCAAAGGGCAAAUCAAACUCUGUAAAAUGAUCACUGUAAAAAAAAUGAUUUGAAAGAAAAUAAGCAGUAGCAUCUUAGAAAAAGCACUUUAUACAUUGAAAAACUCAUCAGCACUUAACUGUGUACGGGAAGUGAACCAACCUUAUCAGGAAAAACAGACCGUGGCAAUUAGGGAAUAAUUGAAAGGCAACUUCAAUGGAAAGCCUUGUCUUAACCGAUUCACCAAAGGAAGUGGUGCAACAUAAAGGAAGGUAAAGAAGAUUUGAAAGGCCUGGACAGAAUAGACAGAUUAUUUUGUCUUUGUCAUUCACCAGAUGUCGUGAAAAGUAGUGGAUAUGUUACAUCACAAAAGAAAACACAAGAAAACGAAAGAAACCUAAAGCAAUGGAUUGUGCAAAGAAAGGUUCUGGUCUCAUAGUUACAUGUUUCUAUUUUUAUAACUAUUUAUUAGCUGUUCGUUCUACUCAAGUGCAUUAUGUUGCAGAAAUUGUUUUGAGAAUUCCAACGUACCCAAAUUCACUGCAAUAUGUCUUAGUAAGAGACGACAAAAAUAUAGAUGCAAAAAAAUUCUUGUGAUCAUUUUUGUUCUGUAAAGGUGAAUUUCUGUCAACAAUAUGAGCGCUGCUAAUUAAUAUUGUGAUUCAUGGGAAAAAAUGUGAACUGUAUGUUUGUAAAUGUUAAUGUUCAAACUUGUCUUUGUAUUUUUAAUCCUAUAUCAGAUUACAUUACAAGCUUUAUUUUACUUUGGAAACUGAAGUAAUAAAUUUAUAAUAUAUUUUUGUUGACUUUUUUUGGUGAAGAAUUGAUUUAUAAGAUUGUGUAUUGUACCAAAGGCUAUAAUGUCUGUCUUUUUGUAUAUGUUAAUCACCACUGUGCAUAUACUGUAUAUCAAUCAUUAAACUACCAGAAAUUCAGCCUAAGAUACCAUUUCAUGUUUCAGACUGUAAACUUGGGUUGGCAUCGGUUUUUGGAAGAGCUGUCCGGAUUUCCAAAUUAGGAAAUUCAGACAGGACAUUGAAGUGAAUGACAUGGCAAUCAACCAAUCGCUGAUCACCACGUCAUCAGUCCCGCCCCUGACGUCACACACCCCACCUCCUCAAGUCACCCACCACGCCCCCUGACAUCACCGGCCCGUCCCCCUACAUCACCAGUCUGCCCCCUGCACAUUUUCGCCCAAAAAAAAACGUGGCAACCCUACUGUAAACAAAUUGUAAUGUAGUUGGUUCCAGUCGCAACAAAAAUAUCAGUGAGAAAACAAUUAUUUAGAACUUGAAGACUGUGAUUUAUUUGCUCACAAUUUUACUUGUAUUGGUUAAAAAUGGUACCUGAUUAUUUUUUAUAACCACAUAUGCACUUUGUUUUCAUUUUUCUAUGUGCACUUGUUCUCCUUUUAUAUAUGCAAUAUAUCUUUGAAGAAUUCAUGGUAACCUGGGUACAUGGCUGCUAAUAGUACAGUGUAAUCUCUCUCUCUCUCUCUCUCUCUCUCUCUCUCUCUCUCUCUCUCUCUCUCUCUCUCUCUCUCAAAACUUGACAGGAUAGGUGGGAAAUACAAAUAAUUCUGCAAAGAUAUGUGCAUUUAAGAUUGUAUUACACUGUAUUACUUUAAAUAAAACAAUUCUGUUUGGCGUCA